rnacentral:rRNA from 1 species
UACAGAGGUGGCAAGCGUUGUUCGGAUUUACUGGGCGUAAAGGGCGCGUAGGCGGCAUGACAAGUCACUUGUGAAAUCUCUGGGCUUAACCCAGAACGGCCAAGUGAUACUGUCGCGCUAGAGUGCGGAAGGGGCAAUCGGAAUUCUUGGUGUAGCGGUGAAAUGCGUAGAUAUCCGGAGGAACACCGGUGGCGAAGGCGGCUUCCUGGACCGACACUGACGCUGAGGCGCGAAAUCUACGGGAGCAAACUGC